CAGCAGCCACGGUAAUAUGUAGGGUGCGAGCGUUAAUCGGAAUUACUGGGCGUAAAGCGUGCGCAGGCGGUUCGUUAAGACAGAUGUGAAAUCCCCGGGCUUAACCUGGGAACUGCAUUUGUGACUGGCGAGCUAGAGUAUGGCAGAGGGGGGUGGAAUUCCGCGUGUAGCAGUGAAAUGCGUAGAUAUACGGAGGAACUCCGAUGGCGAAGGCAGCCCCCUGGGCCAAUACCGACGCUCAUGCACGAAAGCGUGGGGAGCAAACAGGAUUAGAUACCCCAGUAGUCCCUGUCUCUUAUAC
rnacentral:rRNA from 1 species